rnacentral:rRNA from 1 species
GACGAACGCUGGCGGCGUGCCUAAUACAUGCAAGUAGAACGCAGUUGCGAACGGGUGAGUAACGCGUAGGUAACUGCCUGGUAGCGGGGGAUAACUAUUGGAAACGAUAGCUAAUACCGCCUACUACCAGAUGGACCUGCGUUGUAUUAGCUAGUUGGUGAGGUAACGGCUCACCAAGGCAACGAUACAUAAGCGAGCUGGAGGGGUGAUCGGGCAAAACUGGACUGGGAAAAGGCACAGAAGCCUAAGGGAGGGAGCAGGAGGGAAAAAUCGGCAAUGGGGGGAAAGCUGAACGAGGAACGGCGCGGGAGUGAAGAAGGGUUUCGGAGCGGAAAGCUCCGUUGUGAAGGAAGCGGUACUUAACCAGAAAGGGCCGGCUAACUACGUGCCAGCAGCCGCGGUAAUUC